UCAAGGAAUAGUUUAAGUAGAAUAUCAGCUUUGGGUGUUGAUGGUGGGACUGUAUGUUCCUUCCUUGAA
rnacentral:tRNA from 1 species